rnacentral:rRNA from 1 species
GACGAACGCUGGCGGCGUGCUUAACACAUGCAAGUCGAACGGAAAGGCCCUGCUUUUGUGGGGUGCUCGAGUGGCGAACGGGUGAGUAACACGUGAGUAACCUGCCCUUGACUUUGGGAUAACUUCAGGAAACUGGGGCUAAUACCGGAUAGGAGCUCCUGCUGCAUGGUGGGGGUUGGAAAGUUUCGGCGGUUGGGGAUGGACUCGCGGCUUAUCAGCUUGUUGGUGGGGUAGUGGCUUACCAAGGCUUUGACGGGUAGCCGGCCUGAGAGGGUGACCGGCCACAUUGGGACUGGGGUACGGCCCAGACUCCUACGGGGGGCAGCAGUGGGGAAUAUUGCACAAUGGGCGGAAGCCUGAUGCAGCAACGCCGCGUGCGGGAUGACGGCCUUCGGGUUGUAAACCGCUUUCGCCUGUGACGAAGCGUGAGUGACGGUAAUGGGUAAAGAAGCACCGGCUAACUACGUG